rnacentral:rRNA from 1 species
UACGGAGGGGGCUAGCGUUGUUCGGAAUUACUGGGCGUAAAGCGCACGUAGGCGGCUUUGUAAGUUAGAGGUGAAAGCCCAGGGCUUAACCCUGGAAUUGCCUUUAAGACUGCAUCGCUAGAAUCGUGGAGAGGUAAGUGGAAUUCCGAGUGUAGAGGUGAAAUUCGUAGAUAUUCGGAAGAACACCAGUGGCGAAGGCGACUUACUGGACACGUAUUGACGCUGAGGUGCGAAAGCGUGGGGAGCAA